rnacentral:rRNA from 1 species
GAUGAACGCUGGCGGCGUGCCUAAUACAUGCAAGUCGAGCGAACGGACGAGAAGCUUGCGUCUCUGAUGUUAGCGGCGGACGGGUGAGUAACACGUGGAUAACCUACCUAUAAGACUGGGAUAACUUCGGGAAACCGGAGCUAAUACCGGAUGAUAUUUUGAACCGCAUGGUUCAAAAGUGAAAGACGGUCUUGCUGUCACUUAUAGAUGGAUCCGCGCUGCAUUAGCUAGUUGGUAAGGUAACGGCUUACCAAGGCAACGAUGCAUAGCCGACCUGAGAGGGUGAUCGGCCACACUGGAACUGAGACACGGUCCAGACUCCUACGGGAGGCAGCAGUAGGGAAUCUUCCGCAAAGGGCGAAAGCCUGACGGAGCAACGCCGCGUGAGUGAUGAAGGUCUUCGGAUCGUAAAACUCUGUUAUUAGGGAAGAACAUAUGUGUAAGUAACUGUGCACAUCUUGACGGUACCUAAUCAGAAAGCCACGGCUAACUACGUG